rnacentral:rRNA from 1 species
GACGAACCGUGCGAACGUUGUUCGGAAUCACUGGGCUUAAAGGGCGCGUAGGCGGGCCGCCAAGUCUGUGGUGAAAUCCCCCGGCUCAACCGGGGAACGGCCGCGGAUACUGGAGGUCUCGAGGGAGGUAGGGGCAUGCGGAACUACGGGUGGAGCGGUGAAAUGCGUUGAUAUCCGUAGGAACUCCGGUGGCGAAGGCGGCGUGCUGGACCUCUUCUGACGCUGAGGCGCGAAAGCUAGGGGAGCAAACGGG